UAUUUAAGUAGUUUAUAUAAAAUAUUAGUUUGUGGAUCUAAAGAAAUUUAAUAAUCUUAAAU
rnacentral:tRNA from 1 species